CUCACAUUUCUGGAGAAACACCUACACCCAGUCUCACACACACACACACUGUGAGAAAGUGAAAUGUUCUUCCCCUUCUCACCGUCUCAUGAGGAGUUUGGCCCUGGUGUGGACUCCCCCGCCACAAUGGUUCGAUCCGGGCCCCCCCACCAUAGUGGCUGGACCCGGGAGGCCAAAUUGGCUCAAGUGAACUCAGCUGGCGGCCCCUAUUUAAAGGGCGCCUCAUGUUCAUGAGGAGAGACUUUCUUGAGAUGGCCAUGGGAGAACUUUGAAGGCAGGCAUGAGAGGCUGAAAGAAUCUGGAAAACACUUACCUGCUGUGAGGUUAAGUGUAUUGGUGUCUAGCUGUGUGGAUACUAACCUGUGCUGUGAAGAGGUUCCUUCUGAACCUAAGUAUUGAAUAUGUUCCUUCUGAACUUACUAACCUGUGCUGUGAAGAGGUUCCUUCUGAACCUAGGUAUUGAAUAUGUUCCUUCUGAACUUGUUAACCUGUGCUCUGUGAAAUGUUCCUAGUGAACUUGUGAAUCAGUGAAUAAUGAAUCGGUGCCUCAAGAGUAUGCCUAGUUCUCCUUAGUGUUUGUAGCACUUUAAGUGCGGCCUUCUUUGUGUUUUUGAAGACAUGUUUGUUUAUUGUUUAUACAUGUUACGGGGUGGACACCAAAUAAUCCCCAUGUAAAUAAAGAAGAAUAUUUUUAUAU